UCCGUAGGUGAACCUGCGGAAGGAUCAUUACCUAGAGUUUGUGGGCUUUGCCUGCUAUCUCUUACCCAUGUCUUUUGAGUACUUACGUUUCCUCGGCGGGUCCGCCCGCCGAUUGGACAAAAUUAAACCCUUUGCAGUUGCAAUCAGCGUCUGAAAAACAUAAUAGUUACAACUUUCAACAACGGAUCUCUUGGUUCUGGCAUCGAUGAAGAACGCAGCGAAAUGCGAUAAGUAGUGUGAAUUGCAGAAUUCAGUGAAUCAUCGAAUCUUUGAACGCACAUUGCGCCCCUUGGUAUUCCAUGGGGCAUGCCUGUUCGAGCGUCAUUUGUACCUUCAAGCUCUGCUUGGUGUUGGGUGUUUGUCUCGCCUUUGCGUGUAGACUCGCCUCAAAACAAUUGGCAGCCGGCGUAUUGAUUUCGGAGCGCAGUACAUCUCGCGCUUUGCACUCAUAACGACGACGUCCAAAAAGUACAUUUUUACACUCUUGACCUCGGAUCAGGUAGGGAUACCCGCUGAACUUAAGCAUAUCAAUAAGCGGAGGA
rnacentral:rRNA from 2 species